UUAAGGGCCAGGUUACCGACACGAACAGAAGACUGCAAGACGCCGGCAGAGAGGUGACAGCCCAAACGGAGGAGGUGAUUCGCUGUCGGAUACAGCAGAGGAACAUGACUACCACUGUGGAGAGACUACAGCUGUGUAUACCUGUCCUGGAAAUGUACAGUAAAUUGAAGGAGCAGCUGGAAUCCAAAAGGUACGUGCACUUCCUUACUCUCCUCACUAUGUUCACCGUUGUCGUCAUCAAUGUUAC